AUUGUGACUUCUGGCCAGUUCAGUCAGAUAAGUCUGCUUCUGACUUAAUGUGCUACAUAUCUGCAUAUGUGAAGGCAGUAAAGGCAAUGGAGCUUAGGAAGCACAGUUGGUAACAAGAAGAAGUAAGAUGCUAACAGAACAAGAAACAUACUGGCAAUGAGGAGAAAUGGGAGGAAAAGCCAGCCAAGACUGUGAAGAAUAGACCACAAUGUCUCCCUCAAUUCUAAGAAAUCCACAGUGAUAACAAGAAACUGGAAUGAAAUAGUGGCCAUCAAUUAGAGAAUACUAAAUGAAUUGUAACAUAUGAAUAGAAUGGAAUAUUAUCACACUCCAAGAAAUGACAAACCGAAAUAAUUCACUGAACUCAGAGGAAAUUGGGAAGAUAAUUAACCAAUGGAGACACAGAACAAAUGGCUGGUAAAGAAAGAAGAAAAUAUGGAAGGUAAAAAUGGAACUGUAGGAGUGGCUGAAAUGGAUUCCUUGCUAUUUUCAAGGAAAUCAAAUGGGCAUCUUAGAACUGUUCAGGGGUUGUGAGAAUCAGAUCUGAUUGUGAGAGACCAAGAUUUAGUCAAGAUUAGAGAAUCAUCCUCAAUAUUUCAACCAUCUUCCACAUGCUGCAAGAAUUAGCAAAUCCUAAAGAUGCUGACAUCUCAGUCAUACACUGAGGACUCGGUGGGAAUUUAUCAUAAAAAUGAGGAUCUUUAUAUUCUUACAGAUAAAAAGCAAAGAAAUGAAGUAAAAUGAAGAAAGUACAGCUGAAGAAAAAGCAGCUGUCAAAGUCCUUAGCAAAACAAAACAAACAAAAUAAAAGUAGGUAACCCAAGAAGUAUGAUGGUAAAUAAAAGGCAUUUUGUCAAGCUA